AGUGAAAUAGAACCUGAAACCCUGCACUUACAAGCUGUGGAAGCACAUUUCUUGUGUGACCGCGUACUUUUUGUAGAACGGGCCAACGAGUUACGUUAAGUAGCAAGGUUAAGCACUUAAGGUGCGGAGCCGUAGCGAAAGCGAGUUUUAACUGGGCGUUCAGUUACUUGACGUAGACCCGAAACCGGGCGACCUACCCAUGAGCAGGAUGAAGCGAAAGUAAAAUUUCGUGGAGGUCCGAACCCACGAGCGUUGAAAAGCUCGGGGAUGACUUGUGGGUAGCGGUGAAAU
rnacentral:rRNA from 1 species